rnacentral:rRNA from 1 species
GACGAACGCUGGCGGCGUGCUUAACACAUGCAAGUCGAACGGAAAGGCCCUGCUUUUGUGGGGUGCUCGAGUGGCGAACGGGUGAGUAACACGUGAGUAACCUGCCCUUGACUUUGGGAUAACUUCAGGAAACUGGGGCUAAUACCGGAUAGGAGCUCCUGCUGCAUGGUGGGGGUUGGAAAGUUUCGGCGGUUGGGGAUGGACUCGCGGCUUAUCAGCUUGUUGGUGGGGUAGGGGCUUACCAAGGCUUUGACGGGUAGCCGGCCUGAGAGGGUGAUCGGCCACAUUGGGACUGAGAUACGGCCCAGACUCCUACGGGAGGCAGCAGUGGGGAAUAUUGCACAAUGGGCGGAAGCCUGAUGCAGCAACGCCGCGUGCGGGAUGACGGCCUUCGGGUUGUAAACCGCUUUCGCCUGUGACGAAGCGUGAGUGACGGUAAUGGGUAAAGAAGCACCGGCUAACUACGUG